UACGUAGGUCGCAAGCGUUGUCCGGAUUUACUGGGCGUAAAGAGCGCGUAGGCGGCUUAACAAGUCACUUGUGAAAUCUCCGGGCUUAACUCGGAACGGCCAAGUGAAACUGUCAAGCUAGAGUGCAGAAGGGGCAAUCGGAAUUCUUGGUGUAGCGGUGAAAUGCGUAGAUAUCAAGAGGAACACCUGAGGUGAAGACGGGUUGCUGGGCUGACACUGACGCUGAGGCGCGAAAGCCAGGGGAGCAAACGGG
rnacentral:rRNA from 1 species